GUAGGGCAGUAUAAGAGUGCCAGUCUAUCACUCUGAGUUUCAAUUAAGGUAAACUUAUGAUUGCUAAGUGUCCACUAUGUGGGAUGGCAUUUUAAUUCUGCCAACGCCACCUUCCCUCCUACAGGCACAAAUAGCAGCUGCAGCAGCAUGUACAUUCACGGAGUACAGUGCAGAGGUUUCUGAUGAGUCAAAUGGAAAGUGGAUUUUGUCUUGAUGUAACUCAGAAAGCAGAUGCAAGAAUGAUACUGACUUGGUAGAAUGAGAAGAUGAGAUUCAAGCUCCUGCCAGUUAUCUCUGCUCAACCCUCAGACAGCCCCAGGGAGUGGAAGCACCAGACGGCACUGAGGAUGGACCUACAGGCAUAAAACUACUGUGUUACAGCCACUACCAAUGCCACUGAAUUUCCCAGGGUCUAAUGUUGACCUCAGGCUCGCCAGCAAAGGAGGAAGAACAUAAGAGACCUCAAUAUUUAGAGGGUUUUACAUUUCCUAUACAAAAAAAGAGCAAACGAAGAGUGAAGAGCUAGCUGCUACAGUAAAAGAGGUAGGAUUAUUGGUCAAUGUGUAGCAAAUCAAAUGUUAGGUAAUAUAGGAAUUGUGGGAACCUUCCUGGUAUCACAUAUUCUUAAAUGCAGCAAGAUCAUAGAGAAAAAGCAUGGAUAUCACUCCUGGCCUUAAAAUUUAAGUGGGCUCCCUUUGUGUACAACAAAAUCCUAACUCCUUCACAAACAUCCUCUAGUACCUGCCUUUCUGAUCUCACCUUAUUCCACAGCAACUACAGUCUGCAGGCCCAGCCACACAGUGGCUUUGGUCAGCUUCCCUUCUGCCUAGAGCACCCUACCCUCCAGUCCACAUCUGCCAAGUUGUCCUGCCCCUUUAGGAUUGAGCUCAGUUUCCAUACUAAUUGAUUAAUUAUCUUACUGAUUCAUUGAACAAUACUUACAAAGUGCUUAUUAUGUGCCAGGCACUCCUUUAGGCCCUGGGGAUACAGCACUGAACACAACAAACACUUUUGCCCUCAUGGAGUUUGUAUUCUUGAGGAUGUAAUCAAGAUAAUGACAAAAUAAUCAAGAUGUUACAUAGUGAGAUCUAUAUCUAUAUCUAUAUAGAUAUAUAGAUAUACAUAGAUAUAUCUGUAUCUAUAUCGAUAUAGA
rnacentral:lncRNA from 1 species